rnacentral:tRNA from 1 species
ACAAGAUGGCUGAGUGGUUAAGGGGAUAGACUACUAAUUCAUUGUGGUUUGCAUGUGUGGGUUCAAAUCCCAUUUUGUG